AAGGGAAAUGCUUGCUUUAGGAGUGGUGAAAGUUUUCUUAGGAUUCUGCUGGAACUGUCUUAUCGAAAGCUAAAGGUAGUUCACCUAGGGGAAGAAUCCGACUAAGCUUAGCCAAGGUCAAGCCUUACCUUCUCUUUCGCGUGAACGUGGACAAGUUAGCUUAGCAGGUUCUAUCGUCAAGAACGAACGGAAAGAUACGUAUCUCAGUUCUUCUCAAACCUACGUAUCUUUCCGUUCAACUCCUUCGGAUAUAGUUCGUAUCCCCAGAUCGAGACCCAGAAGUAGAGAUAGAGGCAAAGGUUGCAGCAGGAGGGAGAGAGGGUUCAAUACCCGAUUUGAGAACCAGGUAACCUAGCUUCCCUUCGCUCACGUCCGAAUCCAUCAUUGUUGGAUUUCCACCAGCGGCGGAGAUAGUUGGAUAGGCCCCCCCAGCAAUUGCUUCAGCUAACAAAUUGGAUUAGGUACAACUGGUAAAGCUACAGCUGCUCCUGCUACUAAAUCGACUUGAGCAAGGGAUGCGGAACGGAGGGAAAACCGCAGUCGUGUGAUCAUAGUUAAAAUAAAUCGGUAGAUGAAGAAUUCAUUGUCAAAGCAUUUAUAUAGACGUUGCCUGCCUGGGUUGAACCAAAAAUCCCUAUUCCGGAGUCAUCGAUAGAAUAUCCAGGGCCUAUUCCUUUUCAAUUUCAAGACAAAAAAUGCUUUGGUUUGAAAACCAAUAGCGCCCAUUCCAGUUCCAUAUCUGGAUCCGGAAUCAUGAAUAGAUAGGGGGGGCUUCUCUGGAAGAAGAUCUAAUAGGGGAUCUCGAGGUUUACCAUAUGCAUGUACGAAUGAAGGUACAGAUCAACGAUCCAAUUGAUCUGGGACCCGAGGCAUAGCAAUCAGAGGCGUAGCGCAUAGUAUGUUGGAAGGUUCUUAUAAAACAACUAAAGGCCUUUCAUAGUCUCCCCGGGGGUGGAGCCUCUUCUAUGAGUACCU
rnacentral:lncRNA from 1 species